AUUCGAUUAGAUGAGUUUUGCGCUUAACAGCCCGUUUCGUGCAACAAUCUCAAAACAAAACAAAUCACGCAAAAUAAUUAUGAGAUGUGAAUCUUUUGAACUCGCUUCUAUACCCUGGGGGGACCCAUUUAUAAUAUCAGGAAUAUUUUAACACAUUGGACUUCAACGUCGAUGGAAUCCAAGGAAUACGUAAACAUGUUUACGGGGCGAUCAUUGAGGCCAUUGGAGAUCAGGGUGGAUCAGUGGGAAAUAAUUUAAUAAAAUAAAAUGAAAUACAAACAAUUUGUACAUGAAA